GGGCCGUUAGCUCAGUUGGUAGAGCAGCAGGCUUUUAACCUGUUGGUCCUGCGUUCGAAUCGCAGACGGCCCAUCA
rnacentral:tRNA from 1 species